GGGCUCGUAGUUCAGCUGGCUAGAACACUUCAUUUGCAAUGAAGAGGUAGGCGGUUCGAGUCCGCCCGAGUCCA
rnacentral:tRNA from 1 species